UACAGAGGUCCCGAACGUUGUUCGGAUUCAUUGGGCGUAAAGGGUGCGUAGGCGGCUUCCUAAGUUUGAUGUGAAAUCCUGGGGCUCAACCCUGGAACUGCAUUGAAUACUGGGAGGCUAGAGUACUGGAGAGGAAACUGGAAUUUACGGUGUAGCAGUGAAAUGCGUAGAGAUCGUAAGGAAGACCAGUGGCGAAGGCGAGUUUCUGGACAGUUACUGACGUGAGGCACGAAGGCCAGGGGGAGCAAACGGG
rnacentral:rRNA from 1 species